CAUGACCUAGAACUGGAUUCUGUACAAAUGCCAUUUGCAGAGCCUGGGCAGAGCAGUGGGCAGGCCGGGAGACGUCUUGAAGAUGUUUGCUUCCCUUCUUCAGCUCUCCAGGCUGCUGACAUCCUGGCUCCCUGAAGUCUAACAGGGGAGAAAAGAGUGGAUUGAAAAUAAGAAAAUGCUCGCGUGAAGGAGUAAAAAGGCAGCUGGAAGUACAACAUUCAUUUGGAGAUGGAAUAAAUAAAUGAGAUAAAAUCCUAAAUAAAUAUCUUACACGGUUCUAAUUGCAUUUUAAAAGCUGCCACCAGAGAACAGAUAAAAUGAUGCUGUAUUUCAUUAGUGGCUCCUGUAAUUCUAUGGUAUUCGCCA
rnacentral:lncRNA from 1 species